UCCACCUCUUCCCAUUCCGAACAGAGAAGUUAAGCCUGAUCACGCCGAUGGUACUGCGUAACAGUGGGAGAGUAGGUAGUCGCCGUUUU
rnacentral:rRNA from 1 species